rnacentral:rRNA from 1 species
AGGAAUCUGCCUGGUAGUGGGGGAUAACGUUCGGAAACGGACGCUAAUACCGCAUACGUCCUACGGGAGAAAGCAGGGGACCUUCGGGCCUUGCGCUAUCAGAUGAGCCUAGGUCGGAUUAGCUAGUUGGUGAGGUAAUGGCUCACCAAGGCGACGAUCCGUAACUGGUCUGAGAGGAUGAUCAGUCACACUGGAACUGAGACACGGUCCAGACUCCUACGGGAGGCAGCAGUGGGGAAUAUUGGACAAUGGGCGAAAGCCUGAUCCAGCCAUGCCGCGUGUGUGAAGAAGGUCUUCGGAUUGUAAAGCACUUUAAGUUGGGAGGAAGGGUUGUGGAUUAAUACUCUGCACUUUUGACGUUACCGACAGAAUAAGCACCGGCUAACUCUGUGCCAGCAG